CAGACCUAAAGGAAGCAUCACAGCGUGCAUGUAUUGUUGAAGAGGCAGGAGGAGUGUUCCUCUAGAAUGGCAGCAACAAGCAAGCACAAGGAACCAAGCCCUUGGCAGUGGAAGGAAACCAGCUGAAGCAAGACAAGCAGAAAUGAUCACAGUAGCUACCACUUAUUGAGUCUCAAAAAUCAGAAAUCAACUGGCAGGUGCACAAGCAAGAUACCAAAUUCCCGUUUCCCAGCCAAGCUCCUGUGGUGAAAUUGUUCCUUGGCAAAUGUCCCUUUUUUUUUUUUUUUUUUUUUUUAACUUUGCCUUAAGAGGAGGAAAAGCUGCCAAAUGCCAACUUGGAGAAUAGUGUACAAAAUGCUAAAUAUAAAGAGUUGAGGAAUAUCAGGGGCUAUUUUAAAAAUUAGUCUCUAAUAGAGCCUGUAGUAUCCUCAUAUGUCUAGGAAACAGCAUGGCAGUCAUGUUGGUUUACACCAAAAGCAAUAAUUCUAGGUUCAAAAGCCCAAUCUACAACAGCGCUAGUAAAUCUCAGUAUCUUUCAACUGAAGGCCAACCUAUUUAACAUUUCCUGCACUCAACAGCACAAACUCAGAAAAUGAGAAGCUAAGUGGAAAAACAAGUGAUCAGUGGAGUUGAAAGUACUUCUGCUCUCUCUUCAGAUAUGACUUGGAAGUCAAAUAUUACAAUAAAAGAGCUCACCCAAGGCUCAAAUCUUGAAUAGUAACUCACGCUGGUCAUAAGCUCCACAAUGGGAGGCUUUGAGGGGCAAAAACGCAUGCAUUUUGUACCUUGAUAUUUAUGAUGUUCUAUCGCCACCUCCUGGAAGAAAAGACCAAGAACGCCAAAAAAAAAAAAAAAAAAAAAAAAGGGUGCUUAGUAUUAAGGCUUCCAGUGAAGAUAAAUUUCUUCAAUUCUCAAGAAAGGUAAAGACAUUCUGCAGCCGCUGACAGUUCCAUUUCAGAUGAAUUAGCAUAAUGUUGGGCAAACAGCAAACCUAAAAGGCAAAUGUUCAAGACUCUAGCGUCAGUUAUUUGCCAGCAAAAGAUAACAUCAAACAUAUGAGUAAUGAGCCUUUAAAGUUGCCAGUCCCCAGGGAAGAUUUGAGUUCUCAUUAGUAAAGAGAUAUGAGAUCCCAUUUUGCCAGAGUCAAUAGCACCGCAUGAACACAGAGAGAUACUAGAAGAAUAAUUUCCACACUUG
rnacentral:lncRNA from 10 species